GGUGCAGCCUCAGGUGUGAAGAGGAAGUCACCUGUGCCCCUCCCACAGGAGCUGGCAUUUCUACUAAAGGAGACCACAGGACCGAGUACAGAUGCUGCUUCCACAUCUGUGCGCAAAGUGCUGACUUUUGAAGACAGCAGCGAAGAUGCUCCUUCAGCUCAGCCAGCUGUUCCAGUUCCAGUAAAGUAAAAGUAAAGUGUAAAGUAAAGUGUAAAGUGUGC